rnacentral:rRNA from 1 species
UACGAAGGGUGCAAACGUUAUUCGGAUUUAUUGGGCGUAAAGGGUGCGCAGGCGGCGUGCUAAGUCAACUGUUAAAUCUCCCAGCCUAACUGGGAAUCAGCGGUAGAUACUGGCAUGCUAGAGGGUGAAAGAGAGAAGUGGAAUUCUUGGAGUAGCGGUAAAAUGCGUAGAUCUCAAGAGGAACACCGAUGGCGAAGGCAGCUUCUUGGUUCACAUCUGACGCUCAUGCACGAAAGCGUGGGGAGCAAACAGG